CUCUCAUACAGGCGCCCGGUCAGCAAUGACACUGUCGUACGGGUGCGUAACGCGUAUGCAACCUACCUAUCACUGGGGGAUAGCCCGGGGAAACCCGGAUUAAUACCGCAUAAAACAGGGGCACCGCAUGGUGAUAUUUGUUAAAGAUUUAUUGGUGAUAGAUGGGCAUGCGUUCGAUUAGCUAGUUGGCGGGGUAACGGCCCACCAAGGCGACGAUCGAUAGGGGAGCUGAGAGGUUGAUCCCCCACACGGGCACUGAGAUACGGGCCCGACUCCUACGGGAGGCAGCAGUAGGGAAUAUUGGGCAAUGGAUGCAAGUCUGACCCAGCCAUGCCGCGUGCCGGAUGAAGGCCCUCAGGGUUGUAAACGGCUUUUAUUCGGGAAGAAGAGCAGGGAUGCGUCCUUGUGUGACGGUACCGAAUGAAUAAGCACCGGCUAACUCCGUGCCAGCAGCCGCGGUAAUACGGAGGGUGCGAGCGUUGUCCGGAUUUAUUGGGUUUAAAGGGUGCGUAGGUGGCUGUUUAAGUCAGUGGUGAAAUACGGUUGCUCAACAAUCGAGGUGCCAUUGAUACUGAAUAGCUUGAAAUAAUUGGAGGCUGCCGGAAUGGAUGGUGUAGCGGUGAAAUGCAUAGAUAUCAUCCAGAACACCGAUUGCGAAGGCAGGUGGCUACGAUUGGUUUGACACUGAGGCACGAAAGCAUGGGGAGCAAACAGGAUUAGAUACCCUGGUAGUCCAUGCUGUAAACGAUGAGGACUCGUUGUUUGGUUGCAAAAGCUUGAGCGACUUUAGGGAAACCGUUAAGUCCUCCACCUGGGGAGUACGCCCGGCCACGGUGAAACUCAAAGGAAUUGACGGGGGUCCGCACAAGCGACUGGGAGCAUGGUGGUUUAAUUCAUUGAUACGCGAGGAACCCUGACCUGGGCUUAAUUACAAAGAUUAUGCAAAUGGGGAAGUAGGCACUAUCUUUGUGAAGGUGCUUGCACGGACUGACGUGCGUCCAUGACCGCAGUGGCAGGGUAAAGUUCCAUAAAUACAC
rnacentral:rRNA from 1 species